CGAUGAUGUGCAACCUGUUAAACGAACCAGUAAGUAAAAGUAACAUUUUACGAGUUGGUCGAUGAUGUGCAACCUGUUAAACGAACCACAGGGUUUUGAAAUAAUAACACACACCGUGCUGACAACGAAAGUGCACCACUCCAAUGAUAACGGAUGGGAGUUUCACUCUUUUUAUGUUGAAGUUCAC